rnacentral:tRNA from 2 species
CCGACCUUAGCUCAGUUGGUAGAGCGGAAGACUGUAGUAGUUGCUGUAAUCUUUAGGUCGCUGGUUCGAAUCCGGCAGGUCGGA